rnacentral:rRNA from 1 species
UGGGAAUUUUGGACAAUGGGCGAAAGCCUGAUCCAGCAAUGCCGCGUGUGUGAAGAAGGCCUUCGGGUUGUAAAGCACUUUUGUCCGGAAAGAAAUCCUUGGCUCUAAUACAGUCGGGGGAUGACGGUACCGGAAGAAUAAGCACCGGCUAACUACGUGCCAGCAGCCGCGGUAAUACGUAGGGUGCAAGCGUUAAUCGGAAUUACUGGGCGUAAAGCGUGCGCAGGCGGUUUGCUAAGACCGAUGUGAAAUCCCCGGGCUCAACCUGGGAACUGCAUUGGUGACUGGCAGGCUAGAGUAUGGCAGAGGGGGGUAGAAUUCCACGUGUAGCAGUGAAAUGCGUAGAGAUGUGGAGGAAUACCGAUGGCGAAGGCAGCCCCCUGGGCCAAUACUGACGCUCAUGCACGAAAGCGUGGGGAGCAAACAGGAUUAGAUACCCUGGUAGUCCACGCCCUAAACGAUGUCAACUAGUUGUUGGGGAUUCAUUUCCUUAGUAACGUAGCUAACGCGUGAAGUUGACCGCCUGGGGAGUACGGUCGCAAGAUUAAACUCAAAUG